GACGAACGCUGGCGGCGUGCUUAACACAUGCAAGUCGAACGGACGGGCCCUGCUUUUGUUGGGUUCUUGAGUGGCGAACGGGUGAGUAAAACGUGUGUAACCUGUCCUUGACUUUGGGGUAUCUUCAGGGAACUGGGGCUCAUACCGGAUAGGAGCUCCUGCUGCACGGGGGGGGUAGGAAAGUUUCGGCGGUUGGGGCUGGACUCGCGGCUUAUCAGCUUGUUGGUGGGGUAGUGGCUUACCAAGGCUUCGAAGGGUAGCCGGCAUGGGAGGGUGACCGGCCACAUUGGGACUGAGAUAGGGCCCAGAAUCCUACGGGAGGCAGCAGUGGGGAAUAUUGCACAAUGGGCGGAAGCCUGAUGCAGCAACGCCGCGUGCGGGAUGACGGCCUUCGGGUUGUAAACAGCCUUCGCCUGUGACGAAGCGUGAGUGACGGUAAUGGGUAAAGAAGCACCGGCUAACUACGUG
rnacentral:rRNA from 1 species